UUAGGUGAGAAAAACAUGUGAUUUCACAUGGUUAACACACCUCUUGUUUUUUUGAAGAGCCCUGAACAUAGAAGACAAAAACGUAUGAUAAUAUUGAUACGACAGACCACAAAGAUGCUCUGUUUCCUUUUGUUUUGCAUUAUAUUCUAUGUGGUAGUGUUUAUUAUAGACAAGAAGGCAGUGAGACAUGCAUAUUUAUAAUAGAGUACAGGGCAAAAAAUACACCCCAAAUAUGCAUUGCUCUCUGUCAGAGGAAGCCAUGUAAUGUAGAAGCACCACAGCUGAAAUCUACAGUGAUUCUGUUGUUUGAAUUAAGGUAAUUUAAUGGCCCCUUUUUUACCUUCCUGUUUAUUAAGAUUUUUAUUUUUCAGAUGCUUUCUUCUUGUUGGUUCUACAGCAAGUAAGAUAUUUGAAUUAUUUUUUUAAACUAGGAUAUUGUGUUGUUGUUAUUUUAAUAAUACAUCUUUGAGGCACAUUUGCUUUCCUAUGAUAAUUUAAUAUAGGAGCUAAGCUCCCAAUUAAAAGCAAAUUAUUAGGAUUUGCAGUUAAUCCAGAAGUGAAGCAGAACACUAGCAGAAUUUGCCUGUGAGUUAGGCCGUGUAUUUAUAGUGAAGAAGCGACUUCUAUCUCCUUGUUAAUAUGCAUAUUGGAAGUAUCCUGUUAUUUCCAUUUAUUAUUAGGUGGAGAUUAUUUUCGUGUUCAUACUUAUAAUUGUUGUUAGUUGUGUGAAACGCAGGCGUGCUGUGUGUGUUCUGGGUGGAACCCGUGAGCUCGUGUGCAGAGGAACAGCUGCGGUACAUCGGGGCCUGCGUGUCUUUAAUUCUGCAUUUCACAAAUAUGGGAUAUAUUUGACCUAAUUUAUUAGCCACUGUCAGGUUUAGCCACAAUUUCUCUGUUGCCUUUCUGUGCAUGCAAUAGUUUAAUUUUCUGCUGUUUAAUUUCUUUUCUGAAGAGGGAAAGAAGAAAUGCAUAAACAUAAAAGCUAUACACUCUGAAAAACAAAAUAGACAGUAUUUAUAUAAAGUCUAGUCUCCCAGAGCUGCUGUUUUGCCCAGCUAAAAGUCCAACGCUGAAUUUAUACUGGUUCAAACACUUGGCCUCUCUAGUUUUCCAAACUGCAUUUUAAAUCCUAUGUUAAGCUACGAUCAUGGUAGAAAGCAUCAACUGAAAAUUCCAGGAGCUGAUAAAUAUUCAGAUGCCCUGAUUUUAUGAUCAACCCAUUUUUUUUUUCCAAUUACAUAUUUCUCCAAGAAUUUAUAUUGGCUUUGUGAAACUAGAAACUUUUCAGAUAUGUAAAUCAAUCUUAGUGUUACUAUGCAGAAUUCUUUAAAUUAAAUUACAGUACAGAUAUCAGAUUCGAGCAGUUCUUUUGCUGCAAUGAGAUAAUUUCUGGAGGCAAGACACCUGGCCAGGCUAGAGUGGUGAUUAAUUUUAUGUGUUUAGGGUGCAAUCAUCACUCAGAAAAAGGCUUAGGGUUUGGAUGAUGGAUGACGGGUAAAGUGCAGGCUGAUAGGACAUGGCCCAUGAAUCUGUUCUACAUCAUCAGUUCCUUUGAUCACUGGCAGAAGUUCAGAGAUACUUCUUUGCAUCUGUCCAAAAUAAACAAGGCUACCAUCUACCUUUUGCAGUAUUGCUUUUAAAUGCGGGUUUAUUUGUGAGGGAGGAAACACCCUUAUUUUUGCAACAAUGGCUGAGGCAAAUAAAAGCAAACACUUCGACUUGCAUUUACAUGCACAUUUAUAGACAAAAUUGAUGGGAUUGUCUGUGUCCGCACACAUAUAUAUUCUAAUGAAAGGACAAUAGUAUAAAAGCAAUUUUUUUUUCCCUGCAAACUGAUACCGAUGUUGACACCACAGAGGGUGCUGAAAAACAGUGUUACACAGCCUGCCGUGAGAAGAAAGUCCUAAGU